UACGUAGGGUGCGAGCGUUGUCCGGAAUUAUUGGGCGUAAAGAGCUUGUAGGCGGUUUGUCGCGUCUGCUGUGAAAAUCCGGGGCUCAACCCCGGACUUGCAGUGGGUACGGGCAGACUAGAGUGUGGUAGGGGAGACUGGAAUUCCUGGUGUAGCGGUGAAAUGCGCAGAUAUCAGGAGGAACACCGAUGGCGAAGGCAGGUCUCUGGGCCACUACUGACGCUGAGAAGCGAAAGCGUGGGGAGCGAACAGGAUUAGAUACCCUGGUAGUCCACGCCGUAAACGUUGGGAACUAGGUGUGGGUCUCAUUCCACGAGAUCCGUGCCGCAGCUAACGCAUUAAGUUCCCCGCCUGGGGAGUACGGCCCGCAAGGCUAAAACUCAAAGGAAUUGACGGGGGCCCGCACAAGCGGCGGAGCAUGUGGAUUAAUUCGAUGCAACGCGAAGAACCUUACCAAGGCUUGACAUAUACCGGAAACACCCAGAGAUGGGUGCCCCGCAAGGUCGGUAUACAGGUGGUGCAUGGUUGUCGUCAGCUCGUGUCGUGAGAUGUUGGGUUAAGUCCCGCAACGAGCGCAACCCUCGUUCUAUGUUGCCAGCGCGUAAAGGCGGGGACUCAUAGGAGACUGCCGGGGUCAACUCGGAGGAAGGUGGGGAUGACGUCAAAUCAUCAUGCCCCUUAUGUCUUGGGCUUCACACAUGCUACAAUGGCCGGUACAAAGGGCUGCGAAAUCGCGAGAUGGAGCGAAUCCCAAAAAACCGGUCUCAGUUCGGAUUGGGGUCUGCAACUCGACCCCAUGAAGUCGGAGUCGCUAGUAAUCGCAGAUCAGCAAUGCUGCGGUGAAUACGUUCCCGGGUCUUGUACACACCGCCCGUCACACCAUGGGAGUGGGGUUUACCAGAAGUAGGUAGCUUAACCGCAAGGAGGGCGCUUACCACGGUGAGCUUCAUGACUGGGGUG
rnacentral:rRNA from 1 species